ACCUGUCUGGCUGAGUUGGUGGAGCAUGUGACUCUUGAUCUUAGGGUUAUGGGUUCGAGUCCCAUGUUAGGUA
rnacentral:tRNA from 1 species